GGGGGAUAUUGCACAAUGGAGGAAACUCUGAUGCAGCAACGCCGCGUGAGGGAAGAAGGUCUUCGGAUUGUAAACCUUUGUCCUUGGUGACGAAACAAAUGACGGUAGCCAAGGAGGAAGCUCCGGCUAACUACGUGCCAGCAGCCGCGGUAAUACGUAGGGAGCAAGCGUUGUCCGGAUUUACUGGGUGUAAAGGGUGCGUAGGCGGCUUUGCAAGUCAGGUGUGAAAACUAUCGGCUUAACUGAUAGACUGCAUUUGAAACUGUGGAGCUUGAGUGAAGUAGAGGCAGACGGAAUUCCCGGUGUAGCGGUGAAAUGCGUAGAGAUCGGGAGGAACACCAGUGGCGAAGGCGGUCUGCUGGGCUUUAACUGACGCUGAGGCACGAAAGCAUGGGUAGCAAAC
rnacentral:rRNA from 1 species